CCUACGGGAGGCUGCAGUGGGGAAUAUUGGACAAUGGGCGAAAGCCUGAUCCAGCCAUGCCGCGUGUGUGAAGAAGGCCUUCGGGUUGUAAAGCACUUUCAGUGGGGAAGAAAGCCUUGGGGCUAAUACCCUCGAGGAAGGACAUCACCCACAGAAGAAGCACCGGCUAACUCCGUGCCAGCAGCCGCGGUAAUACGGAGGGUGCGAGCGUUAAUCGGAAUUACUGGGCGUAAAGCGCGCGUAGGCGGUCUGAUAAGCCGGUUGUGAAAGCCCCGGGCUCAACCUGGGAACGGCAUCCGGAACUGUCAGGCUAGAGUGCAGGAGAGGAAGGUAGAAUUCCCGGUGUUGCGGUGAAAUGCGUAGAGAUCGGGAGGAAUACCAGUGGCGAAGGCGGCCUUCUGGACUGACACUGACGCUGAGGUGCGAAAGCGUGGGUAGCAAACAGGAUUAGAUACCCGAGUAGUC
rnacentral:rRNA from 1 species